rnacentral:lncRNA from 1 species
UAGCCUCUCUGUUAGAGAGUGCAGGAUGAUUGGAGGUGGAGCUUGUCACAUCGAGAAGAGAAGCAAGUGAACUGUAAGACAGGCAAAUCAAUGAAAUUGGCAUUUUUCUUUAUUAAUGGGCCUAAUUUGUCCUGGGUUAAUGGCUAUUUACAAAGUUUCAAGAUGCCUAGCCCUUUGAGUUUUAUGGCAUCUUGACCAUACUUUCUUGAUAUAGUGUGUGUGUGUGUGUGUGUGUGUGUUGCUAUCUCACAGCAUCUGUUUAUUUCCAUGUCCGCAGCAAAGUGCUGGGUACACAGAAGGACUAUGUGACGAAGCGCCAUCACAUGGCUGGUAGCCUGUGGUGAGUCACCGGACUUCUCAACUCCCACCUCACUGGGGUGGAAGGAACAGUAACCACAAUGCUCCACAACUCGGGCUGCACCCGUAUGAUUGGAAACAAUCUGUGAAAUUGUGGAGUGAACGACCCCGAAGAAACAGACUUCUAAUUCUAGCCUUUUGGAGAUUAUUAACCCAACUCCCAGAUUUUAGAGAUGAGGAAAGGGAGGCCCAGGGAGGUGAGGAUACAUGUCCAGGAUCACAGAGGUGAAAAGUGAGUUUGCUUGGCUAAGUUCAACUGUACCUACUUGUCUCCAGAGACUGCUCAGGAACUAGAACACCCUGAUACAACAUAGGCACCUGUGAUGGAGAUAUUC